UACGUAGGGGGCAAGCGUUGUCCGGAUUUAUUGGGCGUAAAGAGCGUGUAGGCGGCCACACAGGUCAGCUGUGAAAACUCGAGGCUCAACCUCGAGACGUCGGUUGAAACCGUAUGGCUAGAGUCCGGAAGAGGAGAGUGGAAUUCCCGGUGUAGCGGUGAAAUGCGCAGAUAUCGGGAAGAACACCCGUGGCGAAGGCGGCUCUCUGGGACGGUACUGACGCUGAGACGCGAAAGCGUGGGGAGGCGAACAGG
rnacentral:rRNA from 1 species